rnacentral:rRNA from 1 species
CCUCAAAUCAGGUAGGACUACCCGCUGAACUUAAGCAUAUCAAUAAGCGGAGGAAAAGAAACUAACAAGGAUUCCCCUAGUAACUGCGAGUGAAGCGGGAAAAGCUCAAAUUUAAAAUCUGGCGGUCUUUGGCCGUCCGAGUUGUAGUCUGGAGAAGCGUCUUCCGCGUUGGACCGUGUACAAGUCUCUUGGAACAGAGCGUCAUAGAGGGUGAGAAUCCCGUCUUUGACACGGACUACCAAUGCUUUGUGAUGCGCUCUCAAAGAGUCGCGUUGUUUGGGAAUGCAGCGCAAAAUGGGAGGUGAAUUCCUUCUAAAGCUAAAUAUUGGCGAGAGACCGAUAGCGAACAAGUACCGUGAGGGAAAGAUGAAAAGCACUUUGGAAAGAGAGUUAAACAGUACGUGAAAUUGCUAAAAGGGAAACGCUUGAAGUCAGUCGCGUCGUCCGGAACUCAGCUUUGCUUCGGCUUAGUGCACUUUCCGGCUGACGGGCCAGCAUCGAUUUUGACCGCUGGAAAAGGGCUGGAGGAAUGUGGCACCUUCGGGUGUGUUAUAGCCUUCAGUCGCAUACAGCGGUUGGGAUCGAGGAACGCAGCGCGCCUUAUGGCUGGGGUUCGCCCACAUUCGCGCUUAGGAUGCUGGCAUAAU